rnacentral:rRNA from 1 species
CACCGCGGUUAUACGAGAGGCCCAAGUUGAUGGUCACCGGCGUAAAGAGUGGUUAAGGAAUUCAAUAAACUAAAGCUGAACACCCCCUAGGCUGUUAUACGCACCUGGGGGUAUGAAGCCCCCCCACGAAAGUGGCUUUACCCCCCCCCCGAACCCACGACAGCUUUGCCA